UACAUACUCCCUCCGUCCGAAAAUACUUGUCAUCAAAAUAGAUAAAAAGGAAUGUAUCUAGAACUAAUAUACAUCUAGAUAUAAUCCUUUUUAUUUAUUUUGAUGACAAGUAUUUUCGGACGGAGGGAGUACUAA
rnacentral:pre_miRNA from 1 species